rnacentral:rRNA from 1 species
AACAGGAUUAGAUACCCUGGUAGUCCACGCCGUAAACGAUGGAUGCUAGCUGUUAUCGGUAUCGACCCCGAUAGUAGCGAAGCUAACGCGUUAAGCAUCCCGCCUGUGGAGUACAGUCGCAAGACUAAAACAUAAAGGAAUUGACGGGGGCCCGCACAAGCGGUGGAGCGUGUUGUUUAAUUCGAUGGUAAGCGAAGAACCUUACCCAGGCUUGACAUCCUUGGAAGGUCUCCGAAAGGAGACUGUGCCUUUGGAACCAAGUGACAGGUGUUGCAUGGCCGUCGUCAGCUCGUGUCGUGAGAUGUUUGGUUAAGUCCAUCAACGAGCGCAACCCUUGUGAGUAGUUGAAUUUUUCUACUCAAACUGCCCUGGCAACAGGGAGGAAGGGGGGGAUGAUGUCAGGUCAGUAUUACCCUUACGUCUGGGGCUACAAACACGCUACAAUGGCCGGUACAAAGGGCUGCCAAGUCGCGAGACGGAGCAAAUCCCAUCAAAGCCGGUCUCAGUUCGGAUAGCAGGCUGAAACUCGCCUGCUUGAAGCUGGAAUCGCUAGUAACGGUAGGUCAGCACACUACCGUGAAUACGUUCCCGGGUCUUGUACACACCGCCCGUCAAACCAUGAAAGUCGCCAAUACCUGACGUCUUAGCUUGUCUAGGCCUAAGGUAGGGGAGAUGAUUGGGGUUAAGUCGUAACAAGGUAACC